CCUUGUUUGUUAUGUUGAGUUGGUAAAGGGUAGACUUGACUUUUGAGUGUGGAUAAGGAUGCCACACCUACUCCUUCAUGCUUAUCAUGGUAAUUAGCUGAGGUGUGCACUUUCUAACUUUCUCUCUCUCGUGCUCUUGAGUUGUGCGAGGUGGAGCUCGGGGGAGUAGCCGCGGAGCUCGGAUUCGACGUCGACGUCGCGCCGCGGAGCCGUUCGAGGAUACAGUCGCAGUCGUAGCAUCGCGAAGAGUCCGGGCGAGGGCGUGGUUUCGCCGUUCUCGACGUCGCGCCAGGGUGGACUUAGCAUUCAAGAGCCACCGGUUUCAGUUGCUACGCCUUCCGAGGCUAAUCGAGGCAAGGGCGUCGCGAGUUAGAGCCUUACCCGACGAGUUGCUGAGAUAAAGGAUCCACCACUGCAGGUAGUUCCGGUUUAUUUUGUUGAGUUCAUGUACAUACAGUUGUUAUAACUCGCUGGAGCGAGUACCUUUGUAUAGCGUUUUGUUGUAUGUAUGUGAGACUUGUUUUAUUCUA